CAUCUGGUCACAAUUUCCCUACCAGAAUUGGAACGAUUCAGAGAAGAUUAGCAUGGCCCCUGUGCAAGGAUAACACGCAAAUUCGUGAAGCAUUCCAUAUUAAA